GACGAACGCUGGCGGCGUGCUUAACACAUGCAAGUCGAACGGAAAGGCCUGCUUUCCCUUGUGGAUUGCGGGUACUCGAGUGGCGAACGGGUGAGUAACACGUGAGUGAUCUGCCCCCAACUUGGGUAUAAGCCUGGGAAACUGGGUCUAAUUCCCGAUAGGACUGCAGGGUGGUGCCUGUGGUGGAAAACGAUUUUCUAGUGGUUGGGGAUGAGCUCGCGGCCUAUCAGCUUGUUGGUGGGGUAAUGGCCUACCAAGGCGGCGACGGGUAGCCGGCCUGAGAGGGUGGACGGACACAUUGGGACUGAGAUACGGCCCAGACUCCUACGGGAGGCAGCAGUGGGGAAUAUUGCACAAUGGGCGGAAGCCUGAUGCAGCGACGCCGCGUGGGGGAUGACGGCCUUCGGGUGGUAAACUCCUUUCGACCGCGAGGAAGCCACCUGGUUGGAAGGGUGGUGACGGUAGUGGUAGAAGAAGCACCGGCUAACUACGUG
rnacentral:rRNA from 1 species